rnacentral:lncRNA from 1 species
GGCUCGCUGGGUAGGCAUGAUUUGAAACAUAGAAGACCCAAAUUUUAAGGAAAGAAAGUUAUGGCCAGGUAGUUAAAGGCUAAAGUAAAAGGGGUUAAGAUAGCAGGGAUGGAAAGGCUGUGGGUACAGGAUCUUAGGGACAUGUCCUUAGUGAGUGUCUGGGUCCUAGGUAGCUGGAAACCUGCUUGGAGAUGUGAGGGAUGUCCAGCGACUGCUUCCCCUGAUGGGCAGACAGGUUACAAGGGGAGAUUCAGUCCCUAAGAUAGAAGUGUAGAAACCAGGACUAGGGGGAUAGAAACUAGGAAAUUAGUACAAUAACAAUUGGCAUUACACAUUUGCAUUUGGGUAUCUCAGCCAACAGACUUCUUCAGAAAUCAUCUUCUGACAGGAAUAAGAUCCCUUUAGGAAAUCGGAUUCCUGAGUUGUUUGCAGAGUUGGUAUGUGAUGUUUCUGUUAAUGAAUAUCCUUUUGCAAAGUACACAUUAACUAUAGCAUCUAUAAACACUUGAGUAACAAUAUCUUACAGUUGAAUCUCUUUACCCCAGAUUCUGGGGAAAAUUCAGGAAAGCUUUGAGCUAUUCCAAGUUCAAGAUCCAAACUUCACUUAAGGCUGCAAAUACAAACCAUCAAUUAAUAAACUUCACCUACUUCUCAAAGUAUGUUCCUAAUAAUUUGAGAACAUUCAAUUAGCCUGAUAGGUUGUUUGGGGAAAUGGAAACUUUAAUUUUCCAAUUUGUAUUAUGUGCUGAUUAUGGUGAUGUCACAAAGGAAGAAGGUCCAAAAGGGAAAAUAUCUCCACAUGAGACAAAGAACACAGUGAGUGGCUUCGUGUACCAAGCAUGGCUGGCACUGCCAUUAUUGUUUCACUCAAGGAUUCGCAGCCUAGAUGGUCAGGAAAAUUCAGUCCAAGCCCAGAGAGUGAGGCUUCAUUGCUUGCUGAUCUAUUAUACCCCAGUGACAUCUCUCCCUUUGAGUCUCCCUGGAUGAACAGUCAGGACCUCAAUCUGGGUCAGAAGCUAGUCCUCCUAAUAGCAGGAGUCCUGCAAGACAAGAUGCAAAUAAAGUUGGAUUCAUAGACCA